GUUAUCUACGGUGGAAAUGGUUGACAGCUCGCGCGCCUCUCGCGACGAAAUCCCUCCUCUCUCUCUCUCGACGAUGACAUCGUCGUCGGUAAAAAAAAUCGAACGAACCUAACCUGACACGUCGACUUCCGGAUUCCGUGAUAAUUUAAAUGUCCCGUUGUCGCGCGACCUUGCCGUCGUCUCUCAAAGUUCGCGUAGCGCGGGAGUUUGCGUCAUCGUCACGGGUAUCGUCGCGCUGUUCUCCGCUGUAUCUUCAUUUGGAUUUCCCACGACGAUCAUCUCCGCGCUGAUGGCGUGGAUCUGGAGGAGGGAGAACAGGAAAUCGUUCUGACGACAGCAGCUGUCACGCCACAAGUAAAGACGGUGCGCGCGGUGCGUGUCCCAACGCGGCUUCACGAACGAGACGAUUCAUCGGCCACGAUGAAGAAUCCAAGAGCCCGAAAUGUAUUUUUUCAAAUAUAUAUGUUUAUGGCAAAUAUACAUGUUUUUACACAAA